UUAAUUGUAUAGAAAUUUAUCAAUGAGAGAAAUUAUAUUAUAUUUAUUUGGCUAUAGUUUGAUUGUGUUUGAGAAAGAGAAAGAGGGAUAGAAUAACAGAUAACUAGAGAGUAAUAGAAAAUCUUUCAAGAAUA
rnacentral:rRNA from 1 species